rnacentral:rRNA from 1 species
CCUACGGGACGCAGCAGUGAGGAAUAUUGGUCAAUGGGCGCGAGCCUGAACCAGCCAAGUCGCGUGAGGGAAGACGGUCCUAUGGAUUGUAAACCUCUUUUGUCGGGGAGCAAAAGACGCCACGUGUGGCGUUCCGAGAGUACCCGAAGAAAAAGCAUCGGCUAACUCCGUGCCAGCAGCCGCGGUAAUACGGAGGAUGCGAGCGUUAUCCGGAUUUAUUGGGGUUAAAGGGUGCGCAGGCGGAAGAUCAAGACAGAGGUAAUAUUGAGGGGCUCAUCCACUUCGA